rnacentral:rRNA from 1 species
AACGAUACGGGACUCAUCCGAGGCCCCGUAAUCGGAAUGAGUACACUUUAAAUCCUUUAACAAGGAUCCAUUGGAGGGCAAGUCUGGUGCCAGCAGCCGCGGUAAUUCCAGCUCCAAUAGCGUAUAUUAAAGUUGUUGCGGUUAAAAAGCUCGUAGUUGAAUUUGUGUGCCACACUGUCGGUGCACCGCUCGCGGUCGCAACUGGCACGUCGUGGUACGUCCUACCGGUGGGCUUAGCCUUCCCUCGGGGAGGCGGUCCUCUAAAUCCUAUCGCGGUGCUCUUCACUGAGUGUCGAGGUGGGCCGGUACGUUUACUUUGAACAAAUUAGAGUGCUUAAAGCAGGCUAUCUUUGCCUGAAUACUGUGUGCAUGGAAUAAUGGAAUAGGACCUCGGUUCUAUUUUGUUGGUUUUCGGAACCCCGAGGUAAUGAUUAAUAGGGACAGAUGGGGGCAUUCGUAUUGCGACGUUAGAGGUGAAAUUCUUGGAUCGUCGCAAGACGGACAGAAGCGAAAGCAUUUGCCAAAAAUGUUUUCAUUAAUCAAGAACGAAAGUUAGAGGUUCGAAGGCGAUCAGAUACCGCCCUAGUUCUAACCAUAAACGAUGCCAGCUAGCGAUCCGCCGAAGUUCCUCCGAUGACUCGGCGGGCAGCUUCCGGGAAACCAAAGCUUUUGGGUUCCGGGGGAAGUAUGGUUGCAAAGCUGAAACUUAAAGGAAUUGACGGAAGGGCACCACCAGGAGUGGAGCCUGCGGCUUAAUUUGACUCAACACGGGAAACCUCACCAGGCCCAGACACCGGAAGGAUUGACAGAUUGAUAGCUCUUUCUUGAUUCGGUGGGUGGUGGUG